CGUAUCUCCAUUUUAAUUACUAGGGAAUGAGCUUGUAAAACAAUCUCUAAGACCCUUUCGCAGUUUUCACUGUCAAGGGUUAUAUUAACAUAGGCCAAUCUAAGCUUUUAAAUAUUGUCUCUCUUGAUCUCUAGCUAUUUGAUGACGCCUCUGCUUCUUUUAUACCCCAAAGCUGCUGGUGUCUGACUGGACAGAAACUCAAGUUGGCCAUUGGUUAAAGAGUAUUGGAAUGAAAAAAUAUAUCCUGAAAUUUGAUUAUAAAAGAAUAAGAGGUCAAGAACUUCUUGAAUUAGACAAUGAUGCAUUAAAAUGCAUUGGCAUCACUAAGAAGAGAGAUCGCAAGAAAAUCCUUAAGGGAAUUAAGAAAAUUCAACAGACAGAAAAAAAUUAAUACAAUCUAACAAUUAAAUAUAUCAAAAAGAUAAUUCUGGAAGAUACAGCAAAAAUGAGAAAAAUAUAAUUACAUGAUAUUUACCUUUAA